GAUGAACGCUGGCGGCGUGCCUAAUACAUGCAAGUCGAGCGAACAGACGAGGAGCUUGCUCCUCUGACGUUAGCGGCGGACGGGUGAGUAACACGUGGAUAACCUACCUAUAAGACUGGGAUAACUUCGGGAAACCGGAGCUAAUACCGGAUAAUAUAUUGAACCGCAUGGUUCAAUAGUGAAAGACGGGUUUGCCGUCACUUAUAGAUGGAUCCGCGCCGCAUUAGCUAGUUGGUAAGGUAACGGCUUACCAAGGCAACGAUGCGUAGCCGACCUGAGAGGGUGAUCGGCCACACUGGAACUGAGACACGGUCCAGACUCCUACGGGAGGCAGCAGUAGGGAAUCUUCCGCAAUGGGCGAAAGCCUGACGGAGCAACGCCGCGUGAGUGAUGAAGGUCUUCGGAUCGUAAAACUCUGUUAUUAGGGAAGAACAAAUGUGUAAGUAACUAUGCACGUCUUGACGGUACCUAAUCAGAAAGCCACGGCUAACUACGUG
rnacentral:rRNA from 1 species